UCAAAUUCCAUAUAAAAUGGUGGGUUAACCUCGGAUUUUCGGUGGUGCAAGUGACCCUUACUGUCAUUUAGGUUCAGGUUCCCAAUAGUUGGUACUCUUAUAAGAUGGUGAAGGGUACCGUUUAGGCCUGGCUAAUCAGAACAACAACAGCGUUUCCAAUAGGAUUUAUUAAGACAACACAGAGCUAUACACAAGUUUAGACGUUUAGAAUCUGAAUUUAUAUUUUCGUUAGUCAGACACACAAACACUGCUUAUUCAACAACAACUACGAACAAUAUAUUUAAUCUUAUAAUUAAAUCUUAAAACCCUAAAGACUAAAACUAACACAAGCAGGUUAUAACUAAAUAUAAAAAACCCCCUCAGAUCCCCUGCCUCCGGCAUAGACCCAAGAAUGCUUGCGGCGUUUCCCCUUUGCACCGCCAGACUCAACCUCUGAGCAAAGAAGGAACCCGCUAUUUGGUCCCCCGAGAAGGCGUUCCGACACCUUUUUAAUAAAAUUUUUGGACAAGUUUAGAAAAAUAGUCUUUAUGUAUUAAUGUGGUCUAGUAACACUAAUGCCAUAGGACACGGCAAGGAAGUGAAGAAGUGGCAGCAUGGGCACACAUUGGGCAGACACAAUAACAUCUCUGACAAAGACCACUGCAGGCUAGCAUGCACCGGGCCCAGGAUUGAGUGGCGUGAAGAGCACUGGUAAAGAAUGGCCUCAUUCGUCAUGUCCCUCAGCCACAAGGAUACAACAAAGAAGAGAAUUAUUCUUCUAAAAUUUACUUCUGCAGCUCAUUAAUUUCCAUUUUCGACUCUGCUACUUUUUCAACCGGCCGCUUACAUUUUGGU